rnacentral:tRNA from 1 species
GGGCUGGUGGCGGAAUGGCAGACGCGACAGACUUAAAAUCUGUUGGCCGCAAGGCCGUGGGGGUUCAAGUCCCCCCCUGCCCA